rnacentral:rRNA from 1 species
UACAGGGGGUGCAAACGUUGCUCGGAAUCAUUGGGCGUAAAGCGCACGUAGGCGGUUCGUUAUGUCGGAUGUGAAAGCCCUUGGCUUAACCGAGGAAGUGCAUCCGAAACUGGCGAGCUAGAGUACUAAAGAGGAUCGCGGAAUUCCCGGUGUAGAGGUGAAAUUCGUAGAUAUCGGGAGGAACACCGGUGGCGAAGGCGGCGAUCUGGGUAGAUACUGACGCUGAGGCGCGAAAGCUGGGGGAGCAAACAGG